AUUCCCUCAGCUGAGAAGCUGAGAUACAGAAGCACUUACGGGUGCCUCGAUGGCAGAUGAUAACCUUCUGGGCCUGGCUACCCGGGCUGUCCUCUCCGAGGUGCCGGCUGCCACCUGGACCCCCGCAACCACCUGUGCCACUCCCGCGCAGCGGCAGGUCGGCUUGCACCAGCUCGCUGAGGAAGUUUAUGUAGCCUAUGGCCAAGCGCAGCGUGUCUACUUUGGAGAGGCGCUUUUCGUAGGGCAGCGUGGGGAUGUGCGAACGCAGCCCCUCGAAGGCAUCGUUGAUGGACUGCAUGCGGCGCCGCUCUCGCACGUUAGCGGCUUGUCGCAGCUGCUGCAGCUCGGCCUCGGAGCGCACGCGUCGCCGCCGCCUUGCUGCCGCCGCUGCUGCAGCCCCGUUCAAACCACCAAGCCGCGCACCGGGGGACAGCACCGCGGCGCAAGGCUCGUCGCUGUCCUCCAGCGGGUCCCGAGAGGACUGGUCGGUGAAGAAAUCUUCCUCAUCAAAGUAAGCGGAUGGGAAGGUGUCCAGGCCCCCGGGGAAGUGCUCCAGGAGAACGGCGUCCAUGCCCUCGGCCGCCGAGGCCCCGAAGGACGAAUGGGCUGCUCGGGUUGACGCUUUGUGAGUGAUCCGUGGCAGUUCGGGUAUCAUCUCCUGAGCAACUUAUGCCUUCAGAAGCCAUGAUGAUGUGCCUUGAUCUCUGAGAACUCCUGACUCACUCUUCUCUCCAAUAGCUAUGGCCACAUGAGAGUGUGUCUUCUAUCCGCGGCCGUGAGUGAGCCCAGUGAGAGGAAUCAGAAUUCAACAACAAGCCUGGUUUAACUCCACAUCACAGGAGUGUUCCAUAUAUUGCUCUGCCUUUUCUUCAUUUCUGUCAUUUUGCACUAAUUUUCACACAGAUGAGCUCAUUUGCUCC
rnacentral:lncRNA from 1 species